AAAGUAAAAUUCUUUUGUUCUUAAUAUGAAGGUCAGUGAAAGUGUUGAGGAGCAUAAAAAGCAUGAUUUUCAUAUGUUACUUUUAUGUUCUGUUUGGAAAAAAUGUCUGUAUAUCUUCCCUCUUAAGUUAUAUGGGAUUAUUUUAAUUUAUUGUUUCCAUACUUUAAAAAUUUUCCAUUUUUUUGAAGCCCAUUAUUCUACUUUUAAAAUAGCAUAAGUUAGUUAAUUGUGUAACAUAAAAAUGUGGUUUCCAAAGUAUUCUAAAAUCUUGUCUAAAUAUUAUUGA
rnacentral:lncRNA from 1 species